CGACCGGCGCACAGGUGAGUAACACGUAUGCAACCUGGCCGUGACAGAUGGAUAACCGGGAGAAAUCCCGCCUAAUACAACAUAAUGCCGGGAGGGGACAUCCCCUGCCGGCCAAAGGGGGCGACCCCGGUCACGGAUGGGCAUGCGGCGCAUUAGGUAGUUGGUGGGGCAACGGCCCACCAAGCCGACGAUGCGUAGGGGUUCUGAGAGGAAGGUCCCCCACAUUGGAACUGAGACACGGUCCAAACUCCUACGGAAGGCAGCAG
rnacentral:rRNA from 1 species